GACGAACGCUGGCGGCGUGCUUAACACAUGCAAGUCGAGCGGUAAGGCCUGCUUCGGUGGGUACACGAGCGGCGAACGGGUGAGUAACACGUGGGUGACCUGCCCUUAGCUCUGGGAUAAGCCUGGGAAACUGGGUCUAAUACCGGAUAUGACCAUAUGUCGCAUGGUGUGUGGUGGAAAGCCUGGUUGUUGUGACUGGGUGGCUGGGGAUGGGGCCCGCGGCCUAUCAGCUUGUUGGUGGGGUGAUGGCCUACCAAGGCGACGACGGGUAGCCGGCCUGGAGAGGGCGACCGGCCACACUGGGACCUGAGACACGGCCCAGACUCCUACGGGAGGCAGC
rnacentral:rRNA from 1 species